rnacentral:rRNA from 1 species
ACGUAGGGUGCGAGCGUUAAUCGGAAUUACUGGGCGUAAAGCGUGCGCAGGCGGUGAUGUAAGACAGGUGUGAAAUCCCCGGGCUUAACCUGGGAACUGCAUUUGUGACUGCAUCGCUGGAGUGCGGCAGAGGGGGAUGGAAUUCCGCGUGUAGCAGUGAAAUGCGCAGAUAUCAGGAGGAACACCAGCGGCGAAGGCGGCGCUCUGGGCCGGUACUGACACUGAGGAGCGAAAGCGUGGGUAGCAAACGGGA